UACUUCCAGGGCUGGAUUUGCUAGAC
rnacentral:piRNA from 1 species